CAAACAUGGAAGAGAAUCUCACUGUUUUCCUCUUUGAUGUUUUUCGCAUUUGCAUGGAAACAUUAUUAUUCUUGUUUUUAUUUUUUGAACUAAUGCGGAACAGAAAGUCAUCAAACGGGGUUACAGAGAUGGAAGAACAGGUGAACCUGCGGAAGGAUCAUUACCGGAAAAUGGCGGCAACCACAGGCAGCGGCAGGUGGAGCUUCAGGAAUCUUUCAUGGUGCUCCUGCUCUCCUCUGCACGACCUGAUUGGACCCAGCUGCCAGCACUAAUCUCAUCAGCCACAGUCAGCUAUUUAGGAGGGGUCUGCUCCAGUAUUCUUCGCCAGUUCGUUACCUUACCCGGUGAAGUACCCUGGCCUUUUACUUCUGGUUAUUUCUAAGUAUAAGCUUAAAUAAUUUUUGCUCACGUCUCAUUCCCUUUGCCAGGAUUUUCAUACCACGUGCUGCCCUGGGUCCAACUUCUCUCCACUGCCAAGAAGUUCCACCAUCCACCCUGUUGCAAAACCACGCCACCAUCACCCGCCUCACCCCCUGGGUCUGCUUCACCUCGCCAACAUGACAGAAUCAAGUCGUUUUACUUCUAGGAUUGUCAUCCCAUCUCACCACUGACCUGGGUCCAAUCCUGCACAACCGCUGCUCGGAACCCCACCACAAUCCCACUUCCAGUCUCGCCACUUACCCACUCUACGCUGCUUACCUGUGGUCUACUCGUUUCCACACUUCCUACUUCCAUACUGGAGGUCUGCUGUGUGCCGGGAUACUGUAGGCCUUAUUUACAUUCAGAGCUGGACUGGAUCCCCAGGAGACCUGCAGCCGUUCGGCGGGUUUUCCUUAACAGAGGCAGGCAGUUCUUUCUGUAGCGGGCCCGUCCGACCUCUUUUAGGUUUGGUUCAGUUGUUCUGGAGAGAAUUUUAACCGCUUUUCCUGUUUUCUUCAUCAGAUUUUGGAUUUACACCACUACAAAAACUCAAUUUAUAUCUUGUCAAAAUAAAGAGAGGGAGUUUUUGCUGUUAAAAACAAAUAAUACAAAUAGAAAAAAAAGUUUUUUUUAAUAUUGCAUCCAGCUGGUUGAUGCAAGUCUGUGUGUCACAUAUAAAAACUAUGGUCAAUCUCUGUUCAGCAACAACUGAAGUAAACUCAAUGUUAAGAGAUUAGGGUGGAAACAGAAACAGAAAGUGAAGAAACUGUUAAUAUUGCUAAAUGCUGCAAAAAAUUAGCAUUUUGGCUAAAAUGUGAAUUUUGAUCCUAAUUGUUAGUAACAAUAAAGCAAUAUUUAAAAAUCAUUACAAAAUAACUUAAAAAUUGAUUAAUCUAUUUAUCAUUACACUCAUUACAUUUACACAUUAAAAUGUGAUUGGAACCAAGAAAUUGAGUUUUUCCUGAAACCAAAUAAAUAUCUAAGAACUCAAGAAAAUAGUCAAGGUCCUUUUGAUUUCCUCUGAAGAAGUAACGUCUAAACCAUAAAGUGUAUGGAUGAACCAAUUUUUUUACUUUAUUUUAUUUUUUCAUUUACAUCAAAUUUUGCUGAGAGCUGAUUUAAGUUCUGUAGCUUUUGUUCAGAAAUUCCGAUAAACUAUUGUGAAUCUAUGUUAGAACUAUCAUAUUUCCAGAGAAACUCAUGAAAAGUGUCGCUGAAUUUUGUUCUUUAGGGACUUGAAAUAUUUUCCUAGAAGACGACUUCUAGGUGAAGCUUCGAGCUGCAGAAUCCCGUAACAACAUGAGUGGGAUAUCUCUGAAUUUCCACAGCUAUAUCAUAUAAAAAUAUGAUCCUCUUUCUGUGAUUAAUGAGUUGAAGUGUGAAUUUUAGCUACAUCAUAAAAAAAUAAUCAGUUAUGUUGAAGACGGCAGCAAAAACUGUCAACUCUGAAUGUCUAAAAUAAAAAUAAAUCUCUGGUCUAAUUGCAAGAAGGAAGAAAAAGAGAAUUUCAGCCAUAUUUUUGACAUAGCUCAGAAAGAAGUCCCAUUAAAAAUACAAUUUUUGCCAAAUAAAAUCAACAAACAAAAGGAUCACUGUCAAAAAAAGGAAGAAAAAUCUUUAAACUGUAUUUUUUAUUUGUUUUUGACUACAGUAAAAGGGUUUGAAAAG